GACGAAGGGGGCUAGCGUUGUUCGGAAUUACUGGGCGUAAAGCGCGUGUAGGCGGUUGUCCAAGUUGGAUGUGAAAGCCUUGAGCUCAACUCAAGAAAUGCAUUCAGGACUGGAUGACUAGAGGACCGGAGAGGAUAGUGGAAUUCCCAGUGUAGUGGUGAAAUACGUUAGAGAUUGGGAAGAACACCAGUGGCGAAGGCGGCUAUCUGGACGGUUUCUGACGCUAAGACGCGAAAGCGUGGGAGCAACAGGAUU
rnacentral:rRNA from 1 species